GAGAGGCGGUGGUACAAAGAUGAUAAUGAAGCCUCGCUUGUCGCCUGGCCGGAGAGGAGACUAGCACACACACGACACGCGUUAUAUUUGUCCAAGGCGCUGAUGUAAGUAGCCCAGGCGAAGCAGGCCGCCAGGCCGUUGCGCGCCGUGGGCUCCGAGGUGCCAGUUUGCGCGCGGCGACGGCCUCCCUCCCUCCGGGCGGCGGGACCACGCGCCCCCUGCACCUCCCGGGCCACGUCUCGCGCGGCGUCUCCACGUGGCGACUCCUGGGUCCCGCCCGCCGCACAGCAACCGCCUGCUCUUCCGUCCACGCGACCGGACGGGCCUCGCCCACGCUAGCGAGCGAGCAGACAAGAACAGGACACCCGCGCUCGCCUCUCCAUCCUUGCUUCCCCUCCCGCUCCUCUCUUCCUCCCCAUCCGAUAUGAUCCCCUCCGUCUCCAUCUCUUGCUCCUGUGCCCUAGCCAGGUAGCUAGAGCUAGCUUCGAUGGGCUCCCCUGCUCUGCUCCGGGACUCUUCUUAGCUUCCUGCGCGCGUGCAGUGGCCGCGCCGUCGCCGGCCGGAGAGCAGAGGCCAUGGUGAUGGCUAGCGCCGGCGACGGGAGCCAGGCAUCAGCGUCCUUCUCCUCCACCCCGGAAUGCCGGAUACGCAGGCGGCGCCGCCUCGCGCCGUUGCCCGUGUCCACGGCCGCGGGAUCCAGCGAGAGCGCCGGCGCCAGCGCCGCGGGCCCGAGCCGGGAGAAGCGCAUCCGGCCGGCCUCCCCGACUUCCUCGUCGUCGGCAACGUCAGAUGUCGAUAGCGACGUCGAGCAAGGUGAAGAAGUAGACGAAGCUGUGGAGGAAGAGGAACUGCGGCCGCUCCCGCCCGCGGGUCCGCUGCAUCAGGUUCUGGCGGCGGCCGCGGCGCAGGCAGCGUGGCCGGUCGCGUUCGGGUCCCUGUCAGUGGCGGGGCGGUCGCGGGACAUGGAGGACACCGUGUCGCUCCGCCCGGGCUUCCACACCUGGGUCGACGGCUCCCCCAUGCACUUCUUCGGCGUCUUCGACGGCCACGGCGGAUCCCAUGUGUCAGAGCUAUGCCGGGACCGGAUGCACGAGUUCCUGGCCGAGGAGCUGGCGGCGGAGGCGGCGAGCUUCGCGCAGCGCCUGAGCCGCCGGCAGCAGAAGGCCGCGGCGGGGGAAGGGACGAGCGCGGCCGGUGCCACCACCAGCGGCGGCGGGGUGCAGGACGAGGAGCAGCAGCAGGAGGAGCGCGCGUGGCGCGCGGCACUGUCGCGGACGUUCCGGCGCGUAGACGCGCUGGCGUCCCUGGCGUGCGCUUGCGGGCGCAUCGCGAGCCCGCCGUGCCGCUGCCCGCUGUCGGGGAACUCCGGCAUCGUCGGGUCCACCGCCGUGGUGGCGGUGCUCGUCCGCGGCCGCCUCGUCGUGGCCAACUGCGGCGACUCCCGUGCCGUGCUCUGCCGCGGCGGCGGCCCCGGCGCCGCCACGCCCGUGCCGCUCUCCGACGACCACAAGUGGUCUCCCGUCGCGACGUUGACCGUUGACUCGUGCGUGGUGAGGUGUCGCCCGUCCAGAAGCUUAGCAUCGGCGCGCAUCUGGCAGCUCGUGGUUGGCCGCCGGCCGGCAUGGCUUACUGCUUGCCGACGUGGACCACGAUUGCGUCAGCAACAACUUAUACUGAUCUGUGAGAGGAAAAAAUGGGAUGGCUCGAGAAGAAGAGAGGGGAGAAUUCCGUGAGUUGGAUCGAUCCAUGGACGGAGCUGAGCCGCCUGAGCCUGAGCCUGAGGUGCUGGGAUUUCGGUGCGGGGCAGCACGGAUAUCAAAGCGGGCCAUGCAGUGGCAGUCCCGUGGAUUGAUUCCAGGGAACUUUAGGGGCGCCGUCGCCGUCGGGCGGGAGGACACGUGGCGGCGGCGGCGGGGGAUUCCGGGUCGUGACGGUGGUCGAGGGGGCACGUGUCGGUCGCCGCCGGGGCACGUGGGGCGACCGGGGUGGUGGCCGGGCGGUGGGCCAGGCAGCUCAAACUAAAGCAGGGAGGAGGGCCCCAUCUCCACUCGCUGUCGCCUGCGCGGUGCCGGCGAGGGGGUGGUGGGCGGAGGCGCCACCUGCCCUUGCUGCUCGCUUUUCUCUGUCCUGGCGUUUUGCUUUUCGAUCGGUGGUCCGCAGAAAUUUUAAACUAGCAGGUUUCUUUUUAGUGGCCGGAAAAAGUUGGUGCGCCAACGUUCGUGCUGAUUACGACGCCACGUAAUAGAAUUAGGGUUAUGCUGAUUAGGUUUAGCCAUCCUCAAGCUGACUGGUGGGUUUGAUGCAGCCCAACAGGCCGGACGAGCUGGCGCGGAUCCAGGCGGCGGGCGGCCGGGUGGUGUUCAACAACGGCCACCGCGUGCGUGGCAUCCUCGCCAUGUCGCGCGCACUAGGAGACAGGAUGCUGCGUCCUGAGGUGAUCGCCGAGCCAGAGAU